rnacentral:snoRNA from 1 species
GGAUUUUUUGUGAUGAAUUCAUAGUUCAAAUGAACUUUAGUGAUUACACCACUUAAAUGUCUUUCGCUCCUAACUGAAUAUACAC